UCUCGCGUCAGGAUAUGCCUAGGUGGGAUUAGCUAGUUGGUGAGGUAAGGGCUCACCAAGGCGACGAUCCCUAGCUGGUCUGAGAGGAUGAUCAGCCACACUGGAACUGAGACACGGUCCAGACUCCUACGGGAGGCAGCAGUGGGGAAUAUUGCACAAUGGGCGCAAGCCUGAUGCAGCCAUGCCGCGUGUGUGAAGAAGGCCUUCGGGUUGUAAAGCACUUUCAGUCGUGAGGAAGGUGGUUUNGUUAAUAGCGGCAUCAUUUGACGUUAGCGACAGAAGAAGCACCGGCUAACUCCGUGCCAGCAGCCGCGGUAAUACGGAGGGUGCGAGCGUUAAUCGGAAUUACUGGGCGUAAAGCGCAUGCAGGUGGUUUGUUAAGUCAGAUGUGAAAGCCCGGGGCUCAACCUCGGAAUAGCAUUUGAAACUGGCAGACUAGAGUACUGUAGAGGGGGGUAGAAUUUCA
rnacentral:rRNA from 1 species